GCAUUAAUGGGGUAGUGGUAACCUGGGUCGUUGCCACUGGCGAGUAAUUUCGACCCGCCGGGGGUUCGAUUCCCCCUUAAUGCA